UACGGGAGGCAGCAGUGAGGAAUAUUGGUCAAUGGGCGAGAGCCUGAACCAGCCAAGUAGCGUGCAGGAUGACGGCCCUAUGGGUUGUAAACUGCUUUUAUGCGGGGAUAAAGUUCACUACGUGUAGUGUUUUGUAGGUACCGCAUGAAUAAGGACCGGCUAAUUCCGUGCCAGCAGCCGCGGUAAU
rnacentral:rRNA from 1 species